GGUGAGCAGAAAACCUCUUUUCUACUUGAAAUUUCUGCACAUUGGACAUACCAAAAGAAAUUGUCUGAAUAAGAUGAAUCUCUGAUCACUAAAAGCAUAGUAAUUUUCUUUUGGGGAAUGAUUAAUAAUUGUUUGAUAUUUUUACUGAAAUGGUCACAUGUAAAGUUUAGAACACAUAGUCUCACGUGAGGGAAAGUCUUAUAAGUGUCCUAGUUAGUAGAAUUGAGAAAUAUCGGGGAUCGGCCCGAUGAAAAACAGUUCCAGGGAUUGGCCUGGUGAAUAUAUAGAAGACUCCCGUUGAGCGGUUGAGUGUGAAAAAAAUAAAAUAAAAAUAGGUGAAGACUCGAGUAUCUAUUAAA